UUAGUUUGAUGAAAGCUUGUAACUAGAUCGGAUGACACGGAAGAAGUGGUGAAAGAGAGACUCCGAAUAUACAAUGAAAAGGGUCAGCCUUUGGAGGACUACUACCGCAAUCAAGGAAAGUGGAUGGAAUUUGAUUUACCAGGGGGUAUCCCUGAAUCAUUGCCAAAGUUAUUGGAGGCUCUCAACCUUUAUGAGUUUGACGAAAGGCAGUCCCUUGCAGCAUUAGGUGUUACUGACUACCGUAGUUUUAUAGGUGAGUCUCGUAUUCUUUGCAUGAUGGAGUAGCAUGCUUAUCAAUUUUGCAUUCACAAGAGAGAACUUGUUUUUUUUUUGCAAAUAAAUGCUUCAAAACUUUUGCAUAGUCGAACUAUUAUAUUAUUUGUUUACAAGGAGACUCUGUUGUAUUGUAAUUUGAGAGAGAUACAAACGGGAGGUUUUGUGAGAGAUUUACAUAUCCAAUAGCAGCUUUCAGAAAUAAUACUUCCUCAAUGGAAAAUCAUUGUGUAAAACUAUAUUUUCUUGCUG